AUACUUACCUGGACGGGGUCAACUCGUGAUCAAGAAGACGAGUGGCCUAGGCUACUGACCUCCAUUGCACUGUACGGAGGGGUGCUUAGCUUAAGGUCUUUCCAUGAGAAAGAGCCUACGUCAUUAUUUGUGGCAAAAGGGGGCCUGCGUUCGCGCGGUCCCUAC
rfam:Brassica rapa chromosome A2, whole genome shotgun sequence.